rnacentral:SRP_RNA from 2 species
GCCGAGCUUAGCAACGUAAGCUCAUAACCUGAGUAGGGGCAUUAUGGUAAUGGAACACAAGUUUGAUUCAGUGAUUCAGAUCCAGUGUGGUCUAAUUCGAGCUUGCCCAUUGAAAGUCAAAAGUUGUUCCAUGGGAAUUAAGUGAAGACUCAAGGUCUCGUGGUUCCUAAAGUGGUGGGUACUAUGCAAGGUGAGUUUCAUAAAGUAGCAAAGACCACCUGCUCUUGGUAGUGGAAGGAUAACAAGCCUGCACGCCUUGGAUCCAACAUAGCUCAUUAGGUUGACCUAGACCAUCAUCUUU